UACGAAGGGGGGCUAGCGUUGCUCGGAAUUACUGGGCGUAAAGGGCGCGUAGGCGGUUCUAUAAGUCAGGCGUGAAAUUCCUGGGCUUAACCUGGGGGCUGCGCUUGAGACUGUGGGACUUGAGGUCAGAAGAGGGUCGUGGAAUUCCCAGUGUAGAGGUGAAAUUCGUAGAUAUUGGGAAGAACACCGGUGGCGAAGGCGGCGACCUGGUCUGAUACUGACGCUGAGGCGCGACAGCGUGGGGAGCAAAC
rnacentral:rRNA from 1 species